rnacentral:misc_RNA from 1 species
GGAAGUAAAAGUCGAACAAGGUUUCCGUAGGUGAAUCUGCGGAAGGAUCAUUAUUGUAUAACCGAGGUGCGAGGGCUGUCGCUGACCCGAAAGGUCGUGCACGCCCGAGUGCCCUCACACACAUCCAUCUCACCCCUAUGUGCACCACCGCGUGGGUCCCCCUUUGGCUUGUUCGGAGGGGGGCUUACGUUUUCACACAAACUUUGUAUGCAGUGUAGAAUGUAUUUUUUGUUUUUGCGAUCACGCAAUCAUUACAACUUUCAACAACGGAUCUCUUGGCUCUC